rnacentral:rRNA from 1 species
CUACGGGAGGCUGCAGUAGGGAAUAUUGGUCAAUGGACGAAAGUCUGAACCAGCCAUGCCGCGUGCAGGAAGACAGCCUUAUGGGUCGUAAACUGCUUUUAUACGGGAAAAAACCCCUGAACGUGUUCGGGGCUGAUGGUACCGUAAGAAUAAGGAUCGGCUAACUCCGUGCCAGCAGCCGCGGUAAUACGGAGGAUCCAAGCGUUAUCCGGAUUUAUUGGGUUUAAAGGGUGCGUAGGCGGAAUAAUAAGUUAGUGGUGAAAUCCUACGGCUUAACUGUAGAACUGCCAUUAAUACUGUUAUUCUUGAGUACAUUUGAAGUGGGUGGAAUGUGUUAUGUAGCGGUGAAAUGCUUAGAUAUAACACAGAACUCCAAUAGCGAAGGCAGCUCACUAAACUGUAACUGACGCUGAGGCACGAAAGCGUGGGGAGCGAACAGGAUUAGAUACCCCCGUAGUC